GGCGAACGGGUGAGUAAUAUAUCGGAACGUGCCCAGUCGUGGGGGAUAACGUAGUGAAAAUUACGCUAAUACCGCAUACGAUCUAAGGAUGAAAGCGGGGGAUCGCAAGACCUCGCGCGACUGGAGCGGCCGAUAUCAGAUUAGGUAGUUGGUAGGGUAAAGGCCUACCAAGCCAACGAUCUGUAGCUGGUCUGAGAGGACGACCAGCCACACUGGAACUGAGACACGGUCCAGACUCCUACGGGAGGCAGCAGUGGGGAAUUUUGGACAAUGGGCGAAAGCCUGAUCCAGCCAUUCCGCGUGCAGGAUGAAGGCCCUCGGGUUGUAAACUGCUUUUGUACAGAACGAAAAGGUUUCUAUUAAUACUAGGGGCUCAUGACGGUACUGUAAGAAUAAGCACCGGCUAACUACGUGCCAGCAGCCGCGGUAAUACGUAGGGUGCAAGCGUUAAUCGGAAUUACUGGGCGUAAAGCGUGCGCAGGCGGUUAUAUAAGUCAGAUGUGAAAUCCCCGGGCUCAACCUGGGAACUGCAUUUGAGACUGUAUAGCUAGAGUACGGUAGAGGGGGAUGGAAUUCCGCGUGUAGCAGUGAAAUGCGUAGAUAUGCGGAGGAACACCGAUGGCGAAGGCAAUCCCCUGGA
rnacentral:rRNA from 1 species